GCGGAAGUAGUUCAGUGGUAGAAUACAACCUUGCCAAGGUUGAGGGCCUAGUGGGGGAAACCCCGUGGAGGUUCAAGUCCUCUCGGCCGCAUCA
rnacentral:tRNA from 1 species